rnacentral:rRNA from 1 species
AUUGAACGCUGGCGGCAUGCUUUACACAUGCAAGUCGAACGGCAGCGCGGGCUUCGGCCUGGCGGCGAGUGGCGAACGGGUGAGUAAUGCAUCGGAACGUGCCCAGUAGUGGGGGAUAGCCCGGCGAAAGCCGGGUUAAUACCGCAUACGACCUGAGGGUGAAAGCGGGGGACCGAAAGGCCUCGCGCUAUUGGAGCGGCCGAUGUCGGAUUAGCUAGUUGGUGGGGUAAAGGCUUACCAAGGCGACGAUCCGUAGCUGGUCUGAGAGGACGACCAGCCACACUGGGACUGAGACACGGCCCAGACUCCUACGGGAGGCAGCAGUGGGGAAUUUUGGACAAUGGGGGCAACCCUGAUCCAGCCAUGCCGCGUGCGGGAAGAAGGCCUUCGGGUUGUAAACCGCUUUUGUUCGGGAAGAAAUACUCUGGGCUAAUACCCCGGGGGGAUGACGGUACCGGAAGAAUAAGCACCGGCUAACUACGUG